GCAUGAAAAUAUGUAUAUGAGCCUCUCAUAGUGUCCCAUGCUAGGGCAACCCGUGGCUCCGAACCAUUGCCUGGCCUUUGUACCUGUAGGCUGCUGGCACUAAAGUGGGUCCCACGGUC
rnacentral:snoRNA from 1 species